rnacentral:rRNA from 1 species
GACGAACGCUGGCGGCGUGCCUAAUACAUGCAAGUCGAACGCACUCUCGUUUAGAUUGAAGGAGUUUGCUCCUGAUUGAUAAACAUUUGAGUGAGUGGCGGACGGGUGAGUAACACGUGGUUAACCUGCCCUAAAGUGGGGGAUAACAUUUGGAAACAGAUGCUAAUACCGCAUAAAACCUAACACCGCAUGGUGUAGGGUUGAAAGAUGGUUUCGGCUAUCACUUUAGGAUGGACCCGCGGUGCAUUAGUUAGUUGGUGAGGUAAAGGCUCACCAAGACCGUGAUGCAUAGCCGACCUGAGAGGGUAAUCGGCCACACUGGGACUGAGACACGGCCCAGACUCCUACGGGAGGCAGCAGUAGGGAAUCUUCCACAAUGGACGAAAGUCUGAUGGAGCAACGCCGCGUGAGUGAAGAAGGUUUUCGGAUCGUAAAACUCUGUUGUUGGAGAAGAAUGUAUCUGAUAGUAACUGAUCAGGUAGUGACGGUAUCCAACCAGAAAGCCACGGCUAACUACGUG